rnacentral:lncRNA from 1 species
AUGGAUCCGGUUUCUCCCGGGUGUUUUGGGGGAUUUUCCGGGGGAUUUUUUUGGAUUUUUCCGGAUUUUUUUUCUGGGAUUUUCCUGGAAUUUUCCCAGGAUUUUCCUGGGAUUUUUCUGGGAUUUUUCUCUGGAUUUUUCUGGGAUUUUUCCAGGAUUUUCCCCAGGAUUUUCCUGGGAUUUUUCCAGGCUUUCCCUGGGAUGGAUCCGGUUUCUCCCAGGUGUUUGGAGGGAUUUGGGGGGGAAUUUUUGGCAUUUUCCCAGAUUUUUUUCUGGGAUUUUCCCAGAUUUUUUUCUGGGAUUUUCUCCAGGAUUUUCCCGGGAUCUUUCCCCGGGGUGGAUCCGGUUUCUCCCGGUGUUUGGGGGGAUUUUCCGGGGGAUUUUUUGGGAUUUUCCCGGAUUUUUUUUCUGGGAUUUUCCCGGGAUUUCCCCGGGAUUUUCCCGGGAUUUGGGGCUCUGAUCCCGGAUUUCCGGCUCCCCCCAGGCCGUGGCGCACUACGAGCAGGCGGCCGAUUAUUACCGAGGGGAGGAGGCCAGCAGGUACCGGCGCCGCCCGUCCCGACGGAUCCCAAACUGAAUUCCAACGGAUCCCGACCCAAAUUCCGAUGGAUCCCGGCCGAUCCCGACGGAUCCCGAGCCGAAUUCCAACGGAUCCCGGCUGAUCCUGACCAAUCCCGGCCAAUCCGGACCCAAAUUCCAACGGAUCCCGACGGAUCCCGGCCCAAAUCCCGACGGAUCCCGGCCGAUCCCGACGGAUCCCGAGCUGAAUUCCAACAGAUCCCGACCCAAAUCCCGACGGAUCCCGAUCCAAAUCCUGACGGAUCCCGACCCAAAAUCCGACAAAUCCCGGCCCAAAUUCCGACGGAUCCCGGCCCAAAUCCUGACGGAUCCCGAACCGAAUCCCGACGGGUCCUGGCCGAUCCCGGGGAUCCCCGCCCAAAAUCCGACAGAUCCCGACCCAAAUUCCGACGGAUCCCAACUGAUCCCAGCCCAAAUCCCGGCCAAUCCCAACCCAAAUUCCAACAGAUCUCCACCGAUCCCGGGGAUCCAAACCGAUCCCGGCCGAUCCCAAGGAUCCCAAACGAUCCUGGCUGA